GACGAACGCUGGCGGCGUGCUUAACACAUGCAAGUCGAGCGGUAAGGCCCUUUCGGGGGUACACGAGCGGCGAACGGGUGAGUAACACGUGGGUGACCUGCCCUCAGCUCUGGGAUAAGCCUGGGAAACCGGGUCUAAUACCGGAUAUGACUCCAUGACGCAUGUUGUGGGGUGGAAAGCCUUGUGCGGCUGAGGAUGGGCCCGCGGCCUAUCAGCUUGUUGGUGGGGUGAUGGCC
rnacentral:rRNA from 1 species